rnacentral:misc_RNA from 1 species
UCCGAGUUGACCCCGGCAGUCUUCGAUGAGUCCCCGGCAUAACCCGCUGGCAACAUCGAACGAGGGUUGCGCUCGUUGCGCCACUUAAGGCAACACCUCACGGCACGAGCUGACGACAGCCAUGCACCACCUGUGCAGGCUCCGAAGAGCGCCCGCUUUCACGGGUUUCACCCUGCAUGUCAAGCCCAGGUAAGGUUCUUCGCGUCGCAUCGAAUUAAGCCGCAUGCUCCGCCGCUUGUGCGGGCCCCCGUCAAUUCCUUUGAGUUUAAAUCUUGCGACCGUACUCCCCAGGUGGGAUGCUUAAUGCGUUAGCUGCGCCACUGACGGGUAAACCCGCCAACGGCUAGCAUCCAUCGUUUACAGCGUGGACUAC